UUAGUACUCUCUCCGUUCGGAAAUACUUGUCAUAAAAAUUGAUAAAAAGAGAUGUAUCUAGACCUAAAAUACAUUUAGAUACAUCCCCUUUUAUCCAUUUUGAUGACAAGUAUUUCCAGACGGAGGGAGUAUCAU
rfam:Triticum aestivum genome assembly, contig: Triticum_aestivum_CS42_TGACv1_scaffold_343013_4DL